rfam:Agrilus planipennis Contig14625, whole genome shotgun sequence.
ACUUUAAAUACUCUUAAAAUCCCUAUUGAGUCAUUUCCAUUGAACCUUCCCUGGUUUGAUCUCUCUACUCGAGGAGGGGUUUUAGUUGGUAGGCGCUUCGGCGAAUCCGACACUACCCCUAUUCAAGGGAUGCCUUUGAAGACUUCUCGUCCUCGGGGAAA